rnacentral:snRNA from 1 species
AAACUCAGGUUUCCCUUGAUAUUCGCAUAAAUCUUUUGCCUUUUACUGAAGAUUUCUGUUGAGGGGAACAUAUGGUUCAUACAGUUUCAUUCCUACAUUUAGAUUACUGAUUUAUUUUUUUAA